rnacentral:tRNA from 1 species
GGGGCUGUAGCCUAGCCAGGAAGGGCGACGGGCUCCAGACCCGUAGGUCGUGUGUUCAAAUCACACCAGCCCCA